UACGUAGGGUGCGAGCGUUGUCCGGAAUUAUUGGGCGUAAAGAGCUCGUAGGCGGUUUGUCGCGUCUGCUGUGAAAACCCGAGGCUCAACCUCGGGCCUGCAGUGGGUACGGGCAGACUAGAGUGCGGUAGGGGAGAUUGGAAUUCCUGGUGUAGCGGUGGAAUGCGCAGAUAAUCAGGAGGAACACCAAUGGCGAAGGCAGAUCUCUGGGCCGCAACUGACGCUGAGGAGCGAAAGCAUGGGAGCGAACAGG
rnacentral:rRNA from 1 species